UACGUAGGCAGCGAGCGUUGUUCGGAGUUACUGGGCGUAAAGGGUGUGUAGGCGGUUGUUUAAGUUUGGUGUGAAAUCUCCCGGCUCAACUGGGAGGGUGCGCCGAAUACUGAAUGACUAGAGUGCGGGAGAGGAAAGUGGAAUUCCUGGUGUAGCGGUGAAAUGCGUAGAUAUCAGGAGGAACACCGGUGGUGUAGACGGCUUUCUGGACCGUAACUGACGCUGAGGCGCGAAAGCGUGGGGAGCAAACGGG
rnacentral:rRNA from 1 species